rnacentral:lncRNA from 1 species
GGCGGGGCCGCGGGGCCUGGAAGCAGCCUCCGGGAUCUGCAAGUCUGGAAAGGCCACGUUGUGGACCUUGGCGCAGAGGUUAUGGGGGCGACCCGGAGCGGAUGGUUUCAGGAAAACUAGAACCCACCCUCAUGGCCUGAACAACUGGAGAGAAGAGGAUCGCAGCAAUUUAAAGCCAGCGGCAAGGAUCACAGUCCUGGGGAAUCACCUGGCGGUCUUGUGAAACUGCAGCUUCUAAUGGGCAAGUCAGAGGGGAAGCCUGAGACAUGGCAUUUCCAGCACGUUCGGGGAGUGAAGAUGCUGUCGGCUGCCACCCUCCCUGCAAGGAGCCAGGGGAUAGAUGACCUCUACGCAAACUCUCCCCUCAAUGGGAAGUAGAAUCUCUUUCUCCACCUCUUCAAUAUGGCUGGCCCUGGAACUUCCCUUGGCACACAGAAUGCAGCAGAAUUGGCUUCAUGUUGUUUCUAAGCCUUGGCCUCAGAGGCCUUGCAUGCUUCCUAACCCUGGCUCUAGGAAACUUGCUGCUGUCAUGUAAGCAAGCCCAGGCUAACCUACUGAAUGUUGGUGUGUCCCAGUCAAAUCCAGCACUGCAACCAAUAGCCAGGCAGCCACCAGACAUGUGAGUGGGGCCACCUCACACCAGCCAACCUCCACCAAGUCAUCAGAUGUAUGAGUGAGAACAGCCCAGAACAACUGAGCCCGUCCAGACCAGCGGAACAACCAAGCUGACCAGUAGACUUAGGAGCAGUAAACAGAUGAUUGUUAUGGAAGCCAUUCUGUUUAGGGUGUGUGUGUUAUUGCUUGCAUCCAAAUACAUCCUAUCUCAUCUAAUGAGAAAAGGCCCUGCUCAAGGGCUUUUGCAGCUGUAGUUGGGCGCCGGAAGUGUCUUUGUGGUCAUUUCUUACUCCAUACACGGGGAGAUCAAGGCUCAGACCAGGUAGUGUGACUGUGGACAACACUUUCCUUACCCCUCUGUGACACUUAAAUCAAUGAAGCAGAUUCACAGAAGCAUGCAUGCUCACUGAACACAGUAUUUGCAUUCCUACCUCCAAACCUUUGCUCCACCCAUGCAUCCAGUAAGAAUGCCUACUUCCCUCCUCUCCUCCAUCGAGUUCUUUCUUUGAGUUCUACCUUCCCUAGUCUUCCUCCACUGCACCAACCCACGGUGAUCCCUGUCUCUUCCAAAUGCUUUGUAACAUGGUAGGCAUCACUCACUUGUGACUCAUUGGACCAUUUUAAAACUUGGUUUUCUGUGUCUCUUUUCCAACAAAAUUACAAAUUCUUUGAGGGUAAAAGUCAGGCCUAAUAGUUCUCUGUACUCCUAGUAGUGCCAGUGUGGUAAAAAUUUAACUUGACAAUUAGCAAAACCAAUAAAUUCCUUACACUAUUCUGUUCCUGUAGGUAAUCAGUAUAUGAAUAUGGAUUCCUAUGUGAUGAUUUUCUGGUCUAUUUUGUCCCUUUUUUUUUUUUGUUACUUUAACCAGGCCAUAACAUAAAGGUUAUGCCAUUUGUUACUGUCAAGCUUAAUUAAGCCCAUUAUAAUUCGUUAACCCCUGUGCUUGCUUUGUAAUUAACAUUGAUUAACACAAACAAGUACAAAAUAGGCCAUCAGCACUUUCCAGAAGUGCUGAUUACAAUUACAUUGGUAAUUCAAUACGGUAUAGAAGAUGGCAGGAUAGUAACUUGCACUCUGUUUACAUAAGGAGACAAAUGCUACCAUGCAAAACUAAGCCAAGAAACAAAAUACUUUCCUCAUCCAACUCACUGAUUAAACCCUUACCCUGUUAACUCACCCUAUGACUGUGUAAACCUCCAGUAAGAUUAUUGAAGGCACAGCUCCAAGUAACUUGCUUAAUUGCAUUCCUGGGACAAAAGAGGGAAGCGCUUCAAAGCUGACAGACAGAUGGUAGAGUGUCCAGUCACAGCAAAGCAGGCCCCGAGGCUCAUGACAGACAACUCCAGGGCUGAGAUCUCAUUUGUAGCUCUGGGAUAAAGUCCAGGGUUUGAUGGCAGCAGGCUGAAGUGUAAAGAUGCUCAACAAUGCGCACCCCAGAGACACUGAAUCUGAAAAAGCUUAGAGUGAAUAAAAAUCUGGAAAUGAACUCUGUCUGUCUAUUCACCAUUCCCCCCAUAAAAAAAUUCCUAUAUUCCGGAUGGUGUUCAAGUUCCCUUUCCACAGGACCUCAGCAGUCAGGGAGGUGCUCCUGCAAUCUAUGUGAAGGAGAUUUCACCAUGCCCACAUGGGAAUACAGUAGAUUGCCAGUAGGGAUGCCACACCUUUGCAUUUCCUCGUAUUUCCAGGAACAAAGCUGGGGUGCCUAGGAGCUGCAGCAGUUUUUCUUCUGUGUAAAAUAAGCAAGCAGGACUCUGCCCCACUGCACUCCAGGGAAGGAUUAAGAGAAUUGAUAUCAUCCAAAUCAAUUGGCCCUGUGCAGAUGACUUGAUAAUGAGGCCAUUGAGUUUUUAUGGUUCACUAUUAUUGCUACAAAAAUUAUGCUGCAGAAAUCAUUCAAAUGCUCAAAAAGGAGCAUUAGUACGAAACUGGGUGUUCCAAAGUUGUUGCUGAGAGGUGUGUAAUGUUCCUGAAGAUCCCCAAGGCACUAAGACUUCUCUGUACAUGAAUGACUCAUAGAGAAGAAAUACACCAGAUGAAAAUAUAUGGAGAAGUUUGCCGAAUGUCAUAUAACUU